GAUGAACGCUGGCGGCGUGCCUAAUACAUGCAAGUCGAGCGAACAGACGAGGAGCUUGCUCCUCUGACGUUAGCGGCGGACGGGUGAGUAACACGUGGAUAACCUACCUAUAAGACUGGGAUAACUUCGGGAAACCGGAGCUAAUACCGGAUAAUAUAUUGAACCGCAUGGUUCAAUAGUGAAAGACGGUUUUGCUGUCACUUAUAGAUGGAUCCGCGCCGCAUUAGCUAGUUGGUAAGGUAACGGCUUACCAAGGCAACGAUGCGUAGCCGACCUGAGAGGGUGAUCGGCCACACUGGAACUGAGACACGGUCCAGACUCCUACGAGAGGCAGCAGUAGGGAAUCUUCCGCAAUGGGCGAAAGCCUGGCGGAGCAACGCCGCGUGAGUGAUGAAGGUCUUCGGAUCGUAAAACUCUGUUAUUAGGGAAGAACAAAUGUGUAAGUAACUAUGCACGUCUUGACGGUACCUAAUCAGAAAGCCACGGCUAACUACGUG
rnacentral:rRNA from 1 species